rnacentral:rRNA from 1 species
CCUACGGGAGGCAGCAGUGAGGAAUAUUGGACAAUGGGCGCAAGCCUGAUCCAGCCAUGCCGCGUGCAGGAAGAAGCAUCUAUGGUGUGUAAACUGCUUUUGUACAGGAAGAAACACUCCCUCGUGAGGGAGCUUGACGGUACUGUAAGAAUAAGGACCGGCUAACUCCGUGCCAGCAGCCGCGGUAAUACGGAGGGUCCGAGCGUUAUCCGGAAUCAUUGGGUUUAAAGGGUCCGUAGGCGGUUUAAUAAGUCAGUGGUGAAAUCUGGUCGCUCAACGAUCAAACGGCCAUUGAUACUGUUAGACUUGAAUUAUAAGGAAGUAACUAGAAUAUGUAGUGUAGCGGUGAAAUGCUUAGAUAUUACAUGGAAUACCAAUUGCGAAGGCAGGUUACUACUUAUGGAUUGACGCUGAUGGACGAAAGCGUGGGGAGCGAACAGGAUUAGAUACCCUGGUAGUCCACGCCGUAAACGAUGGAUACUAGCUGUUCGGAGCAAUCUGAGUGGCUAAGCGAAAGUGAUAAGUAUCCCACCUGGGGAGUACGUUCGCAAGAAUGAAACUCAAAGGAAUUGACGGCUGAGACGNGACGAGACGACGACGAGGAGGAGG